CCUACGGGAGGCUGCAGUGGGGAAUAUUGGACAAUGGGGGCAACCCUGAUCCAGCCAUGCCGCGUGUGUGAAGAAGGCCCUCGGGUUGUAAAGCACUUUCAGUGAGGAAGAACGCCUGGUGGUUAAUACCCAUCAGGAAAGACAUCACUCACAGAAGAAGCACCGGCUAACUCCGUGCCAGCAGCCGCGGUAAUACGGAGGGUGCGAGCGUUAAUCGGAAUUACUGGGCGUAAAGCGCGCGUAGGUGGCUUGAUAAGCCGGUUGUGAAAGCCCCGGGCUCAACCUGGAAACGGCAUCCGGAACUGUCAAGCUAGAGUGCAGGAGAGGAAGGUAGAAUUCCCGGUGUAGCGGUGAAAUGCGUAGAGAUCGGGAGGAAUACCAGUGGCGAAGGCGGCCUUCCGGACUGACACUGACACUGAGGUGCGAAAGCGUGGGUAGCAAACAGGAUUAGAUACCCUAGUAGUC
rnacentral:rRNA from 1 species